CCUACGGUAAGGGAUUGAGGAAAGAACUGGAGCAAAGAGGCACGAGAAGGAGGGAUUUGAAUUCGAAUUUGAGGGGCUAUAGUUUUGUGUGAGGAAGCUUUACACAGUUUGUGAAGGAACUGAGACUUGAACGUACUUGAAGGGAGAGAUCAAGUUGAGAGAUUAAAGGUUCGUGGUGAAAGUGUGAAGGAUUGAGGUGUGUAAGGCCUUCAUCAGAGUUGAGGAAACUGGGAGGUUCAAAAUACAAAAUAUUGUUCAUGGCUGGAGGUUAGGAGUAAGGAAUGAUACUGUUCAUGCACUGUGCACAAAACAUUGACAUUUUCACCCAAUUUGGCCGGUUUUUGUCCAAUUUCCGAUCCAAUUUUAAUGGUAUUAAAAUUUUCUCUUAAUUUAGAACCUAUUUAAAAAGUUUGAAGAAAUUUGAAACUCAUUAAGGACCCGAACCGACCAUCAAAGUAACAACCGAACUAAAUAAGUAGCACCUUGGAACUUCGGAUUAAGGUGAGCUUAUAGUACGUAUUGGAGCAUGUUAUAGGAAGCAUGAUACGAAAGUUCCCAACCGAAAUGAGCUAAUUUUAUUGAUAAUAAGCAUGAUGAACAGUAUGCUCAAUUUUUAUGAAAAUGACGAAAUAAACCAGAAAUGGAAUGAAAAUGAAAGAUGGUGAAGAUGUGUAAUUCGAAGAAUAUCCUAUUCUUUACCAUCUCUCCCUAUCAAUUACAGAGUUGUCGAAUUGGAAUACUGAAUCAUGGAAUUUACUCUUGAGGUGAAAUAUAUACUGCAUGGAAGUGGAUGAAUGGGCAUCUUUAUCCCACCUUUUGCAGAGUUACUCAGUCGGAGAAAGGGAACUGGUGGGUGUGAACUUUUCAGAAAAGUGGGACUUUAACCACAGGUUAUUUGACCAAACAGCUUGCAUCUACCGGCAAUAUGGUAAAAUUCAAAUUCUACAAACUAUUACGGAGGGGGCAAUCUCUCAAGGAUGUCAAGUUCCUUAUUUGAGAGCUAAGUCAUGCUUGCAUUAACACUUUGAAAAUCUCCAUGGAUUACAAUUUCUCCAAGUUGCUGCCACUUAUGUAUGAAGAAUCAUGAGACGAAUUCAUUUAUCUAGCCAGUCUACCUACAAUACAACAUUCUGGAACUUCUUACAAGAUGCCUUUGGUUGGAGUUUUACAAGACCAGGAGAUACUUUCACCCUCCUCAAUGCGUCCCUCAUCAGCCAUCCAUUCAAGAAAGAGACAAAGAUCCUAUGAAAGAGAUUAAUUUGGGCUUUCUAUUGGAGCUUAUGGCAGGAAAGAAAUGCACAGAUCUUCACAGAUAAGCAACAAAGCACCUAAACUUUGCAUAUAAUCUUUUCUUGCUUAAACAUGGAAAACGAUCUCUUGUCAUUUGUAACUAUAGU